UCUGUUCUUAUCAGUUUAAUAUCUGAUACGUCCCCUACCCGGGGGACCAUAUAUUAAAUUGAUUUUUGGAACUGGGAGAUGGAAAAGGGGCUUGCCCCGUCCACUCCACGCAUCGACCUGGUAUUGCAGUACCUCCAGGACCGGUGC
rnacentral:snRNA from 10 species